rnacentral:lncRNA from 1 species
ACUCUAGAAUCUCUCUAAUUAUAGACAUUCACCUUAAAUAGGAGAUUUCAUAACAAAUUUUAACUUAUACACACUGACGGUUAAAAAAAAAAAACCAUUUACACAGUCAGUGCUACUAUAUGCAGUUAUAUUUUGUUCUAAGUUACUUUAACUUGACGGUAUAAAAACCUUUACACCAUUGACAGUGUAAGAAGUUAAAUUCAAUAAGAAUAAAUGACAUGCAAAAUUACAUAUUGAUGUGAAAGAUAAAAAGCAGGUAGUUGUUAACUCACAUGACAAUGGUCUUAAGCAGACAAGCCUUGGAGCUUGGAAAUAUUUCCAUGGUUUUGGGCACUAAGCGCCUGAACAAGAAUGCCAUAGCAAAGUAUGGAUUAAUUACUUGGGAAAAUGAGAUGAAGCUAUAGCUAGUCUUAAUUAAUUAUUAGAAUGUGCCCUGACUGAGGAAAGAAGAUGUGGUAUAUAAAGAGCAAUCAGGCAAUGUAAUAAUUGUAGACAACUGUUGAGUGUUGACUACAAAAAUCAAAGUAGAAUUUG